UUACUUGUAGAUUUUCCAUAGGCAUCUGGUUGGCCACAGUGAGAACAGGAUGCUGGACUAGAUGGCUCGAUCCAGCAGGCUCUUAUAUAUAUGUUAUGUAUCCUGUUAGGCGUUUGUUGGAAGAUCCUUUGAAUACCUUGCUCUUUUGAAAUCUGGCAGUGGGUUGAUGCUUUGGUCUAGGUGCUAGUGCAGGCAUCCCCAACCUUCAGCCCUCCAGAUGUUUUGGACUACAAUUCCCAUCACCCCUGACCACUGGUCCUGUUAGAUCAUGGGAGUUGUAGGCCAAAACAUCUGGAGUGUCGCAGGUUGGGUAUGCCUGUGCUAGUGCUAUCUGAUAUUAGUUUAGCUAGCAAGGAGGCUGGAGAAUUUUUAGCCAUGUCAUUCACAUUUAGAAUUCUCUCCCUAGAGCAUUUCAUUCCAUACUGGCUUUCAGAAAAUUUGUGAACAAAUAAACCUUUUGUAUGGGUGUGUACUUGGAUAUUGAUCAUGGUCUUGCAAUAGGUCGUGGUGGUUUUUUAGCCUGCCGUGGUGUUCUAACAAUUAGACUGCUAUGGUUGUUGAAUGGCUUCUGGUUUUAUUGAUGUGUUUAACUGGCUGGUUUAUUGAUUGUUGUAAUGCCAUGUUUGCUACCGUAAGGGCACAUUAUGGAGCCAUGUGUUGGCUAUAAAUCUCGAACAUGAAUAAAUAAAAAUAAAUCAGCCCAACCUUAAGAAUUGGGGUUCCCAACCUAAUUAAAUCAAAGUACUCAGAUUUAAGGCUAUUUAGUUGUCACUGAAGUAGCUAGGACCAAUCAACACUUCAGCUCCACAGACUGUGUCUUAAGAAAAGCACUAACAGCUAGAUGUAGGUAUCCCAUGACAAUGCAGUAAGGGUUGUGGAGAAGAAGGUGCAAGUAGAAGACCAUGCUCAAGUGCAUCAUGCUUUUGAGGAGGACUUAGCAGAUUUGAAGCCUUGUUGCUGCUGCUCCUACAAUGUGCAUCAGCCAGAGCAUUAAAGCUGCCACAAUAAGUGAGGUUUACUUUCCAAUUGGUAAAUGGGCUGCAAUAAGAUUUUGACUUUGAAAAGAGCACAUAUCCCAGUUGGCAACCCAGUUGGCAACUAAAGGGCUUGAUUUUAAAAAUUAUGUAAUCCCAUUCAUGCCAAUGAGCUCAAAUCACAUUAAAUCCAAAUCCCCUGCCUUAACUGAAGUGUCGAUUGGUCCUAGCUACUUCAGUGACAACUAAAUAGCCUUAAAUCUGAGUACUUUGAUUUAAUUAGGUUGGGAAUCCCAUGAGAGACACUUAUUUUGCUGGACUCAUUUUCUGGUUAUCAAACAAGAGAACAACAGAAUGACCAUUCCCUGGGCACUUUGAGGAUGACUUGUUAAAGAGAGAUAUAUUUAUUUCUUAAGACUUUUGGAAUCACAUUGUUAUCCAUGCUGAGCAGUGGCGCAGUGUGUCCUGAUCCCGAGUCUCUGAAGCAUUUCAAGCCUGGGAAUGUCACAUUUACCAUGAACGGAUAGGGGAAGGAUGUACACACACCCCAAAAAAAAACCAGGGUGGGGGGAAAGAAUCUUUUCCGUAGUGAGAAGAAUAAAACUGGUUUCUUUUCUCUUUUUUCCUUGCUAAGAGAUUCCUGCUGUGUAGGGUUAAAUGUAGGUCAAGCUGUCUGAGCUUGUGUCUGCGAUCUGCAGCACACUCAACACUAGAUUAAAUUGGGAUUUUCCACUUACUCAACUGUCAAUCUCCGUAAUAUCGGUAAAAGUUAAAUUAAUCAGGAGUGAGCAGGGCCUGGCUCUCAAGGGGGCUUCUUGAGCUCCGGGGUGUUGCUUAGGCUUGUUGCAGGGAGGGGGAAAGAUAUGGUUUCUGUCACUAAGAUACUGCUGUGUUCUGGCUGUUUGCCUAGAAGCUUCAGAAUCUCAGAGAGAAAGAAAAAAUGUGCCGUUGUUAACACAGAUCAGCAGAGCUGUUGGUUUUUCUUUCCAAGCACUAAUGCCACACAAUUUGCAUGAGAGGCCCACAAAAAAAUGCCCAUUUGCGUUCUCUUGGAUAAAUCAGGUUGCACUGCUUUCUUAUGUUUGCUUUGUCCUGUAGUGUUGACAUCUCUAAACACAAUAAUGUAAGAACCUGCCUUAUGCAGAAUUAAGACCAUUGGUCCAUCUACUUCAGUACUGCUAUUCUCUUUAUUCCCAAAACAGCUUAUUUACCAAGCCCAAUGGAAAACUGAGCUGGGGAAGGAGAUUCACCCAUUACAAUGGAAUCUAUAAAAUGAAGCUUUGGGGGACAGGGAGAAGAAAUCAACUCUCUCAAAAGUGUUGUUGGAAGAUAUACCCAGAGGAUUCAGUAAAACAAGCCUGCCACUUGCCAAAGGGAACAUUUAGAAGAUACUUAUUUUGUCUUACCAGUUUCUAAAAGUACCAUACAUAAAAACUAAAAACCAUCUAAAAGAAGUAGAAGAUGGCUUGUAAAACCAGUAGUUGCAGGUUUCAUCUGACAACAAAGCGCAUGAAAAUCGCACUCAAAUAUGCUAGUUGACAUGCAAUGGGGCUUUUUGAUCCAGUUUCCGUGGAAACUCAACUGCAUCAAUGAAAAUAAACUACGGUGGCAGCAAGAGGCCAGAUAUGUCUGAUCUAAGGACGAUGCUGAACAUGGUCCCUGCACACAAGGUCUGCACUUUUUACCUGGUUAUAGCCUAGCUGUCCUUUGGGACAAAGAAAAGAGAACAAGGCAGACCAAUAUAUUUCUUAAUGACACCAAACACUUCUUCUAGAGCAUAAGCAAUGCCACAGUGCAUACUACACUAGAAAGAGACAGGCAAGUACAUGCAGGAUUCCAUUAAAAGCCACACAUGACAAAUUCAAAGAGAGAGAAAAUAGCCUUUAAAAAAGCAAGCCAACAAAUAAAAUAGUAACUAAUGCAAGAAACACACUUUUUUGGGGGGGAGGGGUGCCAACCAGUGGGGAAAUGUCCUGACAGUUCAAAAUAAGCAGAAAAACAACUAAGUUAGGACCACUAAGUUUUACAACUUUUUGCAUACUCAAAUCUUCCUCACUUCUUUUUACUGAGGAGACACAGGACGAAUAUUUGCUAUACAGCAUAGCGUAAAGUAAGAAAGAUGAUCAGAAACGUCUAUGAAAUUGCCCAGGGUUACCAUGACAAACCAGGCUUUCCAGACUGGGCUACGUCCAUAAAGAAACACUUAGCCUGUAUCAUGGCACACUUUAAAUCCUGACAGAACUCCCCCCCCCAUGCAUGUUGUCCCCAACAACUUUAAGCAGGUGCAUUUAGAUUUUUUAUUUCCAUUUUAUUGAUUACUGUAUGUAUGCAACUGACCAAUUUGAUUGCUUGAUUAGAUACAAUAAUUCAGCUUCAGAAACAAAUCCUUGAAAAGAUACUAAGCCAUGCACAGGGUCUUCCAGUUUACAAAAGCUUUCCCUGUUAGGAAGAGAUGCUGACUUGCCACAAGCAACUAGGCUUGUGGCUGAAGUUGUAGCAGCAGUAGCAAAGAAUAAUACUUUUCCAACUCCCUUUGGAUUUAGAGCCCCCCCCCAAUGUCACUGGAGCUUCAGAGAACGCCCUUCCUGUCCUGCUCCCAGCAGUCAAGGAAACUUCCAAAGGGAAAUGUUACUGCACAAUUAUUGUGAAGUUCUAGUUCUGUAAAGACCUAGGAAACAUUUUUAUGAAACUCUUUUGGGGGAAAGAAUAUUAUGGAAAGAAUGAAUUUUGGCAAUACACAAACAGCAAGACACCUGCUAGUUCUCUUAAAUGACACAAUAUACGUCACUAUACAAUGGCUUACAGCAAGAGUAUGCAGCGUGGAACAAAAGAUGCAUGUUUCUUCUUGCCUGUUGGGCAAUCCCAUUAUUUAUUACCACUGUAAAAUAGAUCAUUGAUUACAAAGCUGUCACAGAUGUUUUACCUGAACUUCAAUCCGGGCAUCAUUGAACUAAACCCUGGCAAGUUUCUCUGAACACAUUAUUUAUCAUCAUCAUCAUUAUUCCCCCCGCCCCUUCAGUCUCAGGGCAGGUUACAGUUAAAACACAAUAUUAAAAACAGUACAAAACAACAUAUAAUCACAGAAAAAGCUGGGCCCUCAAAAAUAUGCAUCUCAAGUGUCAAAAGCCAAAGUAAAGAGGUGAGUCUUCAGCAUUCGCUGAAAGCUGUAUAAUGAAGGUGCCAGGCAUAUCUCUGCAAGGAGGGAAUUCUACAACUUUGGGGCCACCACAGAGCAUGCCCUUUCCAGGGGCACACACACCCCCAACUGAGCUUGAGAGGGCAUGGGAGCUACCUCUCAGGUACUCAGAUCAGCAGACAGGGUUCUAAUGGCCACAGCAACAGAAACUUCUGCAAGCAGGAAGCCUUUGCACAUAUGGCUGAAUGUGCAAAGACUUCCUUCCUAAAAAAAACAGUCGUCAGGGAGCAAGGCUAGAAACAGCACCUGAAGAUACAAAGGACAGGAUUCAAACAAAAUGAAUUUAUCUCUGGGUUAGUUUUUUGCCAAGGAGAUAAAUAUAUAAGCAAGAAAAGGUACUGACCCAGUUAUACCAUUUCACCUAUUUUGUUUUAGCAGUAGGCAUUAGUCCACUGUAUAGAGCAUGCAGAAGAUCCCAGAUAUCAGAGCUUGGGGGGAAAACCUCCACCUAAGAGCUGCUGCCAGCCAAAGUAGACAAUGCUAAGCUAGAUGGAUGAAUAGUCCGACUUCAUAGGAGGCAUGGUUUCCAUGUUCAUAUAGUGAUUCUAUUCAAAACUGCUCAAGGGGCAUGUUUCUCUCUGCCACCCCUAGACAGUGGGGCAUCUUGAAAUUGUACAAGAAAGAGCUGCAGUUAUUAGAGGCAGAACUGGUAGAGCAGUUCAAAGUAGCAAGAGAAAAAAGGAACAAAUCUUGCAUUUUUCUAAGGAAUAUUAAACAUGAAAUCAGAAAGGGAAUAUUCAGAAUUUGGAGGUAGGGGGAGGAGGGAAAGAAAAGGCUGCCUAGCCCUAACCGUACAACUACAUUAGAGCUAACCAGAAAGACUUUUGCUAAAUUCACUCAACUCUGCCAAGAAAAAAAAUGACUGUUUUCUUUCAGAUAUGUCAUAUUUUUAAAUCUUGCUCCCCCUCACCCAAGACUCUAAGGCUUCUUCUGUUAAGGGAAGCUGCAGCGGCUUUCAGGCAUUAUUAGUCAGCAAACAUUCUAAAUCCGGAAUCAGGAUAUGCACACACAUAAUUACUUUCCCCACAAUCAACUACCCAGUCAUUAUCACCAAUUAAAAAGAAAUAAGGCCUUCAAAAUUCUUUAAAUAAAAUAAAAAGAUUGACAAUUUAAUAGAAUUUUAAAGGGUUGUUUGUUUUUUGCUGUUGUUUUUAAACACGAUUUCACGAUACAUCUCUGCAACUGCUUUUUCCAAUUCCGUCAUCUUAAUCAGACAACAUAAAGGCCUAGUCACUGGAGGCUUCCGGUUCACGGUGGUUGUUCAAGAUCUAAGCAGUGAGGCAGAUAAUAUCUAAUUCGUUGGAUACUUGAUACCUCUCAGUCACUAAGGAUGGCCACAGUUAAAACUUCCUUUUAGACUCUGAAUACAACCAGUGAAAAAAAUGCCAGACUGAGAGCCCAGAUCACACCUGAUUACUUCAACCCAACCUGAUUACAGUGGUACCUCAGGUUACAUACGCUUCAGGUUACAGACUCCACUAACCCAGAAAUAUUACCUCGGGUUAAGAACUUUGCUUCA